GGUUCUGUAGUGUAGUGGUUAUCACCCGAGAUUCUGAUAUCUGUCUAGAUUUCUCGUGACCCCGGUUCGAUCCCGGGCAGGACCU